CAGAAAUAUUUAUUGGUGAUGAACUGUCAGUCUGUCUUUUUCUCUGGCUUAUGGUCAUCAUGUUUCAUCCAAACCAAGCAGCUCUGCUCUCCUUAUUAUUUAUGCACGGGGUCUUUGCAGCGGAUCAAAAAGUCGUCCACACGGAUGAAGAGGUGUCCAGGGGAGGCUCUGUCAUUUUUAUUUGCAACACAUCAAG